GGGGUCGACUGGUUUUGACAGCAGGCCGAAUUGAACAGUAAGCACGUCGAGAAGGGGACGAUUCUCGUUAAUACAAGUCUCAACACUUUUAAACGGCGAAAAUAAUUACGCUCUUGCUGCUUAAUCUGAAUUAUAGUAAGAUUUUAAGCCUCGUUCCUACCAGGUAGGAAGGCGGGAUUCUCCUGAAAAGCCCUGGUUUAUGGCGUUUCAUAUAGGAGAACCGAAAAAAUAGACCUGGAGGUUUUUUUGCUUCGCGGAGACCUCGAGACUUUAGAAGCUAAGUAGUGUGUGGCAGUUUUCGGCCUUGCACACUAUCGAAAAUCCAAGCGAAAACUAAACGUGUAGAAAGCUCUUUGCUUCCCUGUUUGGACCCGGGUUCGAUUCCCGGCGAUUCCACAG
rnacentral:tmRNA from 1 species